rnacentral:tRNA from 1 species
GCGGGAGUAACUCAGUGGUAGAGUGCUAGCUUCCCAAGCUGGACGUCGCGGGUCCGAAUCCCGUCUCCCGCU